UCAGCAGAGACGAGAUGUAAUUUUCCCAACACUUCCAAGCGACCGCUUGUCCACACACUGGACAGAGAUCCAAGAACGUACCCAAGUUUUUCCGACAGGGAUUCGCUGCCUCUUUCUCAUCACAUAGAAACGGGGACUGGGGGAGAGGGGCGGGGAUCUACUCGGCCCCACACCUUACGAGGGACUAUUUACUUUACGAGUAGCACAUUUAUUUGAGAAACAGAAACACUCAAACCCGGAUUAUUUUUCUCAAGACAACAAACACGCCAAAUGACAGGGAUGCAAGUUAAUAAGAUUCCAGAAAGAGCAUAAUAAUAAUCAGUAGGGCUCGUUGUUGUGUGAAGGAUUUGUAAUGGUAUGGAGCGUGAAACGCUACAUAAGAAAGAAAAGCAAACGCAACAGUAUUUCCAGAAAAUAAGACGUUUGUGGCUCAAAGAACACUGGCCACUUACUUUUCCUACAAUUUAGAAAUAACAUCUGUUGUGCUAAAGAAUUACCCAAGUAGUUUUAAAAGGAAUGAACAAGUGCCUAUUUUCACCUAUAGGCUCUCAUGAACUUUUUGGUCAUAAUUGUAAAGCUUUUCCACAAGAAAGGCAUUGAUGGUUGUGUUUUGUAGUAUACUCACGUUUGAUUGAUUGUGUUUUUAAUAGCCUCGUAAAAUGAGGUCUCAACUAAAAUGCGUGAAAAGAAGUAGUUGUAACAUUUGUUCUAAUAAGGCUGAAGUAACUUUAAAUACAACAGCCAAGAUAUUAGAGAGCUGAAACAGAGUGCUUACUCCCACCCUGUUGUGUCUAGGUAUUGCAGCGGUCUGUGAACAACAGGUGACUGCAAGCCACACAUCCAAAUUUGAUCUUUGAUACUCUGCCCCCAUCACCAGAUAUGGUGUAAAAUUAGCUGUUGCGCUUGCCCACACAUGCGCAAUAACUUAUUUUAUAGGAUAUGCAGAUAUAUAUUUGAAUUGUGGGUCAGGCCGCAUACAUGUUGUAGUACCUGGCAACCACAAUGGUUAAAAACAGAGUUUUAGCUUGAACUCCGAAUUUCCCUUUUGGUUCUGAUAUAGGGGGUUACUUUGGCUUUUGUCUUCUAUUUCUUUUGUGGGUUUUCUUUUUUCUUUUUUUAAGAGACAAAGAAAGAAUAAUGUGCACAUAAGUAUUUAGGCUUUUUAAACAAUAUAAAUUAUGUACUCAGUAGAUUGUAACAUCUCCUGUCCUUAGCCUGUUUUUUUGAAAUGUGUAUUAUUUGUAGGAGACAUGAAUCAUGGGAUUACAUGUCUAGAUGUGUGAUAAGAACCUUAAUCUUAAUUCUAUAAUAUGGGGGAAAUUCACUUUUUUUUUCAGAUUGCCAAAAGCUAUAAACAUUCUGUUAUGACCUGCUUGCUCACUACCUGUGAGGUUGCUCUUUAAAUUCCAGUAUAUUUUAGUUAUGAAUACCAAAAGGUUUCUUCAGCGAGCGAACUUUUAUUUUUCUUAAUACUCGAACAGCUUUAAAAAAAAGAAGAAGAAGAAGAAGAAAAAUAGACUACCACACCUAGGUUUGAAUAUUAUGCAUCAACGGUGAUAUGGAGUAAUUUUGCAAGUUACAAAGCCCAAGAAACGCAAACCAGUCUUAAAAUAGGAAUGCGUAUGCAACUUUAUUUAUAGUGGCGGGGAUCUGAUGUUAGAAAUACUUAAAAGGCCUGGAAAAAUGUAACCGUAUUGCAUUAUUUUAUUUUCAGGUAACGUAUCAAAGUUGUUGAAAACCCGCUGCCCGUAUUCGCUCUAUUAAUUUCUCUGUUUUCACUAUCUCAUACACAUUCUAUAGUCAUAAAACAUGCAACCGAGAAAGUUAAUACAGAGCCGAGUACGUGUGAUGUCACCAUUUCACUUCAACUUCUGAAUGAACUCUGAAUUAAUCCCCACCAUCACCAAAAAUAUCCCUGCCAUCUCACUUGCUCUUAACCUACUCUACAGCACGACGAGCUCCUGCUUUUCUUCUAAUUGGGUACUUUCACGGACAACUAUUGUGUUUCUAAACAGUUUAAAAAUCUGGUUUGUAAGUGCUUACUACAACAGGUUUUGGUUAGCGGUGAUGGUUUAAUGAAACGAUUGGAUUAGAAACCAACUCAUUUAGGAAAGGGUUCAAGAAUCUUCAAAGCUUCUUGCUUCGUAAGUGCUUCAAACGAUUAACUACUGGAUUUAUUUUAAUACAGACGCACAGCAACAAAUAAUGAUAUUGCUCGUUUCCUCUUUUAAACUUUUUUCAAAUUGCAUUUUAAUUGCAAGUCGAUCCUUUCAAGAAAUGAUAUUGUUAGACUUUAAUUCUCCUUCCGCACACCCUAGAAUGCAUAUCCGUAAAACUCAAAGUACUAUAACUGAUUUGAGAAUUCUCCCUGUGUCAAGUGAAGACUUAUGGUGCUGAAAUCAAUAAGACUGCUUAAAAUUCAAAGACCUGCAAAUCGUUCUGUUUGUCCUUUGAUAGGGCCUGUGCUGAUUAAAAUGCGACCAAGAAAGCUUAAUUGCUGCACUAAUUAAGAAGUCUUUAAUUUCAUUCCUGGAAUAUUGUUUGAAGCAGGGCUUCUCUUGUGCUCACAUAACUCUCUUUUUUUCCUCUGACCAUUUCGAUAAAUGAGAAUGUGCAUUGGAACAACAAGAUGAAUAGAUAGCUAUAAUAAUUUAUUGCUUAAAAAAAACCAGCACCUGCUCCGGAGUUCACUAUUUUAUUAAAUCCAGUUUUGCGGGCAGCUGUAACGUGUAAAAUGCAAUUAAGAAAUGUAUUGUAGCUGUUGCAUCUUAAGUACUCUGAUACCUGACCGCCUGGCACCCCCUUCUCCCCCCUCCCCAGUUGUUACUGUAAAUGAAUUCAGUCAAAUAGAAAAAUAUUAACUUCGGGACCGGGGGUGGGGGGCGGCGUAGGAGAGGGAAUUGUUGCAAGAAGGUUGGUAGAUUGUAUGUCUGGAUAUGUAUCACAAUGUUAAAUUCAUGAACAUGGAUUCUAUCUGUAUUUAUUCUGACUUCCCCCCCUGAAAAAUAUACUGCUCUAUUAUAUUUCAUCUUAUCCUUGGCUAUUGACCUAUUUUGUUCACCGAUUUUUCAAGUGGGGAAACUGACUAAAUGAUUUCACAAAGCUUUCUAUGUGAUCAAUAGCAAUUUUUUAGGUUUAUUCAUACUGCAUUAUAAUUCUGGCAAACGACUGCAAAGCAGAAGACUCUAAGGAAGACACAAAUAUUGACAAAAGGAAGGUAAGUUUUGUUGUGCUUUAAAUAUUUAGGCUCUCCGCACAACGACUCUUUUUUGGGGAGCUACCUGUAAUUUUGCGGAGAGAUUGAGGAAAAGGGUAGAAGGGGACCCUUAUAGUGUACUCUCCCUGGAUUCUAACAGGAAAAUAGAAAGUUAUAACAAUCUAAGAUGAUAUACUGGGAUCUUCUCCCUCUUCCCCCAAGAUAUUUACUAAACCUUUAAAUAUUUCUUGAAAACACGAUUAAUACAUUUGAGAUUGAUGUAACAUCUCCUAACAACAGGAAACUAGAUAUUGCGUUGCUGGAAUUGUUGCAUUAUAGUCAAAUUAGCCCGGGCAUUGCCCAAUAUAAAUACAUACUGGAUUCUUUUCAGUGACGGGACAAGAUGAUAACACGCUUAAUAGAUACAAAGAGAGAUUUACCAUUCCAAGCACGACGUCACGCUAAUUAUGUUUACUUUAAUUGAAAGCAAGGUUUUGGGGAAUCUGAAAUUACUUAUAGGAUAUUUUAAUAAGAAUAAUAAAAUAAUAAUUAAUAAUAAUGCAAGUGCACCAAAUGUUGAUCGCAAACCUUUCAGUCUUUCGAAAUCUAUUGGAAAAUUAAAUGAAAAGUGGAGUUUGGUACAAACAAUGCCCCAGGGCAAAAAACAACUAACACUAGAUUUUCCAGUCCAGCCAUAACACAAAUCAAUUUGAGCACACUUCUAUGGCCAGACUGCCAGAUUGUUAUGACUGCUAAUUCACUCAAUCAAACAGUGCAUUAGCACGCCCAGCGCAAACAGCUUUAACAAUAGCAUACACUUCUGAACAGUCCACAAUAUAUCAUAAACCUAGAAUACAUGACAGUAGUUUUAACCUCUGUUUACCAACAUGAAUAUUUACGUGUGCUAAGUGUUUAACAAAAAACGCGGUGAACAAAUUAAAAUGUAAAAACUUCGGACGGUAUUUAAAAAUAACUAUAAAAGUUUUGAUAACAUUAGGAACUUGGGAGAAAAUUGUGGUCUGGGCUUAGCUGAGAAAUAUGUAUUAAAACAAUCUGCACGUCUAUAACAUCUAACUGGAAAUGGGAUUAUCCCACGCUUUAUAGUUUGCGUACACACCCUGCCUCACCAGUCAGUUUCACUGAAGACCUUAAGGGCCUUUUCUCGCCAGGUUUGCUCACGCGAGUAAUCCCACUGAACCCUGCAAGUAAAACAAGCAGGAUUUAGUCUCAAGUGGAUAACUUCAGUUCUUUCCCUUCAACCUCAGGAGAAAUGAGAGGGUUAUCUUUACCGAUCCUAACUGAUGCUCUAACUAAGGACAUGGUUGCACUCAAAAGAAAAAGAAAAGAAAAAAUAAAAGCAAUAACCAACGAGUGGGAACCUUCCCUCGCCGCUCCUCCCCCUCAAAAUGCAUGCAAAUUGGAGCUAUCAAGCGCUCAUUAAGCAUCCUGCUUAUUUAUAAAUGAUAUAAAACUCGCCAUUGUACAUUAAUUCAUUGGACGGGUUUCAAACUCAGUGACUAAAAUAAUCUUUAUGUUCAUGUAAGUCUCAAGGUUCCGUUGCAGUUCAUAGUGCCAAAUAGAAAUGGGUCAGGGUCCGUUCCCAUACUGGUUCAGAAUGAAUGAAGCAGGUGAUUGGGUACUGUCUUCCUACGUUUACGUUACAAUGGACAGCCAAUAGAGGAAGCCGCAGUAACAAAGAAGGAAAUUCUAACCAACUUUCCUGUAUGAAUUAUAUUAUCACUGUCACAGGCAAUAAACACUAUGUGAUCUUUAGGUUACACUUUGCUGUUAUUACAUGUCUCCAGUGCAACUUGUUAAUUCAACUACCAACAGGUAGUAAAAGUUGCUCACCCAAUAAUUAAAUACAAAAUCCCUGCUAUUAAAUAAUGUUACAUUGGUGAUGUAAUCUGAAAUACCAUUCCUUCUCCUUUUCCCCCUUAAAAAAAUUAGUUCAGUCCACCCUUAACUCCCAACCCAGACUGAUUCGAAAAUAAUGGCAUUGAGUGAAGAAAGAUUAGUGUCGGCCUGAUAUUGAAAUGGUCUUUUCUUUUCUUUUUUUCAGUUUGUUUCACGUUUUGGACACUUUUAAAGGGGAAAGAAAAAGAGCCUGCGACUGGUGGAGAGAUCCUGCCUCUGUUAAAAGUAAAAGUGGGAGAAUUUCAAGAGGAGCGGGUGAAAAGUCAAAAACGAGACAAAACAACGUUAUCUUGUAAACUACGCAGAAAGAAACCAGAAAGAACUCUUUGAAUGAGCAGUGUGUAAGGUUCUCCAACUUGUCUCUCUAGUCGAUUUUUGAAUGUACAUUUUUUGGAGAUAAAGUCGGAUGGAAAGCAGUGUCUUUGCUAUCCUGA